rnacentral:tRNA from 1 species
UUUAAGAUAAGCUAUUUUUUAAGCUUUUGGGCUCAUAACUCAAAUAAGAUUUUUCUCUUAAAA